CUUGACCGAGCCCAGCCACAGCGGGGCCUCGGCCGGCCGGCCCUGGCCGUAGGUCGCCAGCAGCGCCUGGGCCUC
rnacentral:antisense_RNA from 1 species